rnacentral:antisense_RNA from 2 species
CUUCAGCGAGCCGAGCCACAGGGGACUGUCGGCGGGCCGGUCCUGGCCGUAGGUGGCGAGUAGCGCCUGGACCUC